rnacentral:rRNA from 1 species
GUCGUAACAAGGUCUCCGUAGGUGAACCUGCGGAGGGAUCAUUACACAAAUAUGAAGGCGGGCUGGAACCUCUCGGGGUUACAGCCUUGCUGAAUUAUUCACCCUUGUCUUUUGCGUACUUCUUGUUUCCUUGGUGGGUUCGCCCACCACUAGGACAAACAUAAACCUUUUGUAAUUGCAAUCAGCGUCAGUAACAAAUUGAUAAUUACAACUUUCAACAACGGAUCUCUUGGUUCUGGCGUCGAUGAAGAACGCAGCGAAAUGCGAUAAGUAGUGUGAAUUGCAGAAUUCAGUGAAUCAUCGAAUCUUUGAACGCACAUUGCGCCCUUUGGUAUUCCAAAGGGCAUGCCUGUUCGAGCGUCAUUUGUACCCUCAAGCUUUGCUUGGUGUUGGGCGUCUUGUCUCUAGCUUUGCUGGAGGCUCGCCUUAAAGUAAUUGGCAGCCGGCCUACUGGUUUCGGAGCGCAGCACAAGUCGCACUCUCUAUCAGCAAAGGUCUAGCAUCCAUUAAGCCUUUUUUUCAACUUUUGACCUCGGAUCAGGUAGGGAUACCCGCUGAACUUAAGCAUAU